GCCAGGCGUGGUGGUGUGCACCUGUAAUCCCAGCUACUCGGGAGGCUGAGGCGGGAGAGUUGCUUGAGCCUGGGAGGUCGAGGCUGCAGUGACCCAUGAUCACGCCACUGCACUCCAGCCUGGGCAAUGGAGCAAGAUCCUGUCUCAA
rnacentral:SRP_RNA from 1 species